GUAGGUGAACCUGCGGAAGGAUCAUUACUGAGUGAGGGCCCUCUGGGUCCAACCUCCCACCCGUGUUUAUUGUACCUUGUUGCUUCGGUGCGCCCGCCUCACGGCCGCCGGGGGGCUUCUGCCCCCGGGUCCGCGCGCACCGGAGACACUAUUGAACUCUGUCUGAAGAUUGCAGUCUGAGCAUAAACUAAAUAAGUUAAAACUUUCAACAACGGAUCUCUUGGUUCCG
rnacentral:misc_RNA from 1 species